rnacentral:rRNA from 1 species
GAUGAACGCUGGCGGCGUGCCUAAUACAUGCAAGUCGAGCGAACAGAUAAGGAGCUUGCUCCUUUGACGUUAGCGGCGGACGGGUGAGUAACACGUGGGUAACCUACCUAUAAGACUGGGAUAACUUCGGGAAACCGGAGCUAAUACCGGAUAAUAUUUCGAACCGCAUGGUUCGAUAGUGAAAGAUGGUUUUGCUAUCACUUAUAGAUGGACCCGCGCCGUAUUAGCUAGUUGGUAAGGUAACGGCUUACCAAGGCGACGAUACGUAGCCGACCUGAGAGGGUGAUCGGCCACACUGGAACUGAGACACGGUCCAGACUCCUACGGGAGGCAGCAGUAGGGAAUCUUCCGCAAUGGGCGAGAGCCUGACGGAGCAACGCCGCGUGAGUGAUGAAGGUCUUCGGAUCGUAAAACUCUGUUAUUAGGGAAGAACAUACGUGUAAGUAACUGUGCACGUCUUGACGGUACCUAAUCAGAAAGCCACGGCUAACUACGUG